AAUGAAAUGGCUGAAUUAUAAGCGAUAAAUUGUAAAUUUAUUUAUGAGAUAUUUUCUCUUUUAUUA
rnacentral:tRNA from 1 species